rnacentral:rRNA from 1 species
UACGUAGGGUGCGAGCGUUAAUCGGAAUUACUGGGCGUAAAGCGUGCGCAGGCGGUUUUGUAAGCCAGAUGUGAAAUCCCCGGGCUUAACCUGGGAACUGCAUUUGGGACUGCAAGGCUUGAGUGCGGCAGAGGAGACUGGAAUUCCUGGUGUAGCAGUGAAAUGCGUAGAGAUCGGGAAGAACAUCAGUGGCGAAGGCGGCCUGCUGGGCUGUUGCUGACGCUGAGGCGGCGACAGCGUGGGGAGCAAACAGG